CCGGGCGCCGCACAAGGGCUCGGUGGACAUAGAGAGCGUCGGCUCUCAUUACCGACGCUUCUCAAGUCCAGAUUGCUCACAGGAGGAUUUGGAAAUGAGAA
rnacentral:sRNA from 1 species